UAAGGAAGCUAGUACAUUAACCCAAGUAAUUUUUAGAUUGCCUUCCCAAGCAGAAUGAUGGGAAUGUCUUCUCAGACAGCUGAGAUGGCCACAGUUCACAGCUGCUAUCAAGACUAGCUGACUUUCUUCAGUGUUUUCGAUGGUUUUGCAUUUCUUUGCGUCUCAUAACAUAGAUAACUCUACGAUGACUUUAAGGCCAUUCCAUUGAAUCUUUCAUGCUCUCAGUUGAUUCUAAAGCAACCUAUUUGAAUAGGAAGAAUCCUCUAUUCUUUUCUUUUAUCUAGACCACAGCUCUGUUGGAUUCUAAAUAACUGUCAGUGAUUUAUUUGACUCUGUUAUCACAGUCCUAAGGUCCAGUGACAAAGAACACAGAAGAAAAAGCAAUUCCUAUUCUGGGGGGAGACAGCAUAACAGAAUUCUAAAAGAAAUUCCCCAGGACAUCCCUGGAAUGCCAGUGUUUGUGACUCUGGCUUCCGCUGCCACGGCCCAGCUUCAAUCCCUGGUCGGGGAACUAAGAUCCCACAAGUCCCACAACAUGGCCAAAGAAGAAGUAAAUAAAUAAAUAAAAGAAAUUCUCUGUUUCUAAGAAUGAAUCUGAGGCCAACUUCAGACCUGAGCCUCCUGAAGAAAGAUGUUGCAUCCAGGAAAUUACAGUUCAGUCCAUCUGUUCUUACGUAAAAAUGAUAUCCCAUGGAAGAAAAGCAGCUAAUCCACAAUUAACCAACCAAACGGGGGCUUUCCUGGAAAUCAACCAUCAUACUUUGGUAUACAGCACAGGUGCUGGAUGUGAAUUUGCCUUUUUAUCACACAGAAUAUUGGAAAAAUAUGUUCAAGAAAUGAGAAUUAACCAGAUCAGUAAUUUGCUGCUAUUGCCUUGAUUUGCAGUAAAGUACCAGUGAUUUUA